rnacentral:rRNA from 1 species
UACGGAGGGUGCAAGCGUUGUCCGGAUUCAUUUGGCGUAAAGGGUGCGUAGGCGGCUUCCUAAGUUUGAUGUGAAAUCCUGGGGCUCAACCCUGGAACUGCAUUGAAUACUGGGAGGCUAGAGUACUGGAGAGGAAACUGGAAUUUACGGUGUAGCAGUGAAAUGCGUAGAGAUCGUAAGGAAGACCAGUGGCGAAGGCGAGUUUCUGGACAGUUACUGACGCUGAGGCACGAAGGCCAGGGGAGCAAACGGG